AAUAAAACAAUUCUAAAUCGCUGCUGAAAAAACCUAACAGGCUGCUGCGUCCUGCGAUUUACAGUGCGUCAACGGCAGCGCGAGUGCGUCAACGACAACCCACCUUUUUCCCAGUGCGAUUUAUAGUGUGUCAACGGCAGUGCGAGUGCGUCAAUGACAACCCAUCUUUUUCCUGGUAGAUUUUGUAUUGAUGAUGGUCGAUUGAUUUACAGUAAAUCAGUUCCUAACUCGCUGUUCAACAGCCUGCCGUAGUGCCAGGAUGCUACUUUUUUGAGAAUAUUUGGCGACUGGAAAAGAAAGCAUCUUUAGGUUCUCAGAUGAAUGGCUGAGGAGAAGAUAAGGGUGCUUCAUGAAAGGAAAAGUCGAAAGCUGAAGCAAUUAGUUGAAAAGGGUGCUGAGUCUCACAAGGUUGACAUGACCAAAAAAUUGGUUGUAAGUCUCUCCUCAAAUAUUAGAAUUGCAAUUUAGGUUGUUGAUAAAGUUUCUGAGAAGAUAAACAGACUGAGGGAUGAAGAGUUGUGGCCAUAACUGAAUGAACUCAUUCAGGGGUUAAGUCGAAUGUGGAAAUGCAUGCUUGAGUGCCAUCGCUACCAAUGUGUAGCCAUUGGAGAAGCAAAGUGGUUAGACGCCAUUUCAUCUCACAAACACUUUAGUGAUGCUCAUCUUGAAGCCACUUUGCAACUUGAGCAUGAGCUUUUGAACUGGACUUUGAGAUUCUCUUGUUGGGUGAGUGCACAGAAGGGUUAUGUGAGAACAUUGAACAAUUGGCUUAUGAAAUUUUUUCCAGAUGUGCCAGAAGAAACAGUCGAUGGAAUAGCUCCCUUUUCUCCUGGUAGGAUUGGUGCGCCCCCAAAUAAUAUGCAUCUUAAAUUAGAUAUGUACACAAGGAAAUAGUUGAACCAGAUGGAGUUUUGACGACUACCAGGUAAAUUCUAUCUGAUGUUUGUAUAUGUCUAGUUGCGGAGGGUCUUUUGAAAACAGCCUCUCUACCCCCUCGGGGUAGGGGUAAGGUGUGCGUACACACUGCCCUCCCCAGACCCUACUAGUGUGAUUUCACUGGUUGUUGUUGCUGUAUACGUCUAGUUGGUUUCCAUGAAGAAGGAUUAUGCACCUUUUAAUCUCUUCUCGAUUUUUUUUAAUGUCAACUCUUCCUUACUAUGAAGUAUUUAGGUUAUAGGGGAAUAUUUGAAUGUUAAAUUUUUGGUCAGCUUAUGGGUUGGACUUGGAAGUUGUUGGGUCAUAUUUACACAUAUUAGGUUCAUACGUUUUCGGUAUCUGUAGUUAAUUUAGUGUAUGCACUGCAGGCAUGUUAAGUGAGGCUAAGGAGUCGUUUUGUAGGAUGCAUUAGAGAAAAAAAAUGUAUGCAUUAGCUUUUGGUAUUACUAAUCCCUUGUUUGGUACACAUUUUCACUCUAGAAUUCAAAAUAACUAAGAUAUGGCAGCUCACAAUUAAUUAAUUUAGACCAGAGCUGCAUUUACAUGAGUGGGGAAUGCUUUUUGUAUGCCAAUAACUUUUAGGUCCUAAAAUCUGCCAAGAUUCAGAGCAAAGUUAAACUCACUUGCAAAAAGACUUCUGCUUUUCAGGUGAGGGUACUAUAUUCUUUCUUUUUAAUAGGGAAAAUGACAAUGAUCUUGACGUGGAUCUUUAUUGAUUGUUCUUUCACUUUUCUCAUGACUAUCAUGUUCUUUAGCAAGAAACUGAUCAGUAAUCUGCUUUAUAACAGUAGCUACAAAGACUUUCUGAUUUCCUUUGUGGUGUUGUUUUGUCUGAUUUUUUUUUGUUCUUGAGUUUGUGUAAAAAUGGCUGGUAUGUUUAACCAGUGUAGUAAAUUUUUUCAAGUGUUGCAUCUGGCAAGUUGUCAUCUUUAGAUGAUGCUGUCAUUUAGAUGCAGUUGUUAUUUUGAUAUGAGGCUUUCCUCUUCCUUAUUGUGGUUGGGGUUAAUCUACAUAUGUUGUUGUCGUUUAGUUGCACUUUGCAAAGCAUUUGUUUAAUUCUUGUUUUCAGUAUUGCUUCUUGAUUGAAUGGAAUGUUCAAGAUAUUUUUUCACAUUAUACUUUAUCUUUUGACAUAAUUAUUAUAUAAUUUCAGGUUAUAUGUUGAAUAAUUUAGCUGGUGAAAGAGUUCAAAAUGAUGAAAAGUUGCGGAAACCAUUUGAAGACCCAUCAUUCGUCUGGAUGAGUUAUAUAAUGACACUAGCUAUUUAGUCUAAACAAUAUAUUUUUUAUGUUUUAAAUUACUGUGAUAUUAAUAUUUUUGAUUAGUACUUCCUUUUGUUUGUUAAGAUUAAUGAGAUACAUUAUGUUUUUUUUUGAAUUAAUGUUAAUAUAUUUUAUUAUUUGAGUAA